UUGCUGACGAGUGGCGGACGGGUGAGUAAUGCUUGGGAAUCUGGCUUAUGGAGGGGGAUAACUACUGGAAACGGUAGCUAAUACCGCGUAAUGUCUGCGGACUAAAGGGGGCGAAAGCUCUUGCCAUAAGAUGAGCCCAAGUGGGAUUAGGUAGUUGGUGAGGUAACGGCUCACCAAGCCGUCGAUCUCUAGCUGGUCUGAGAGGAUGACCAGCCACACUGGAACUGAGACACGGUCCAGACUCCUACGGGAGGCAGCAGUGGGGAAUAUUGCACAAUGGGGGAAACCCUGAUGCAGCCAUGCCGCGUGAAUGAAGAAGGCCUUCGGGUUGUAAAGUUCUUUCGGUGAUGAGGAAGGUGUAAUGGUUAAUACCCGUUACAAUUGACGUUAGUCACAGAAGAAGCACCGGCUAACUCCGUGCCAGCAGCCGCGGUAAUACGGAGGGUGCGAGCGUUAAUCGGAAUAACUGGGCGUAAAGGGCACGCAGGCGGUUGUUUAAGUGAGGUGUGAAAGCCCUGGGCUCAACCUGGGAAUUGCAUUUCAGACUGGACAACUAGAGUACUUUAGGGAGGGGUAGAAUUCCACGUGUAGCGGUGAAAUGCGUAGAGAUGUGGAGGAAUACCGAAGGCGAAGGCAGCCCCUUNNNNNNNU
rnacentral:rRNA from 1 species